UACAGAGGUCCCAAGCGUUGUUCGGAUUCACUGGGCGUAAAGGGUGCGUAGGCGGUCGGGUAAGUCUGAUGUGAAAUCUCACAGCUUAACUGUGAAACUGCAUUGGAUACUAUCCGGCUAGAGGAAUGGAGGGGAGACUGGAAUACUUGGUGUAGCAGUGAAAUGCGUAGAUAUCAAGUGGAACACCAGUGGCGAAGGCGAGUCUCUGGACAUUUCCUGACGCUGAGGUGCGAAAGCGUGGGGAGCAAACAGG
rnacentral:rRNA from 1 species